AGCGAAAGCUGGCGGCAGGCUUAACACAUGUAAGUCGAACGCCCCGCAAGGGGAGUGGCAGACGGGUGAGUAACACGUGGGAACGCACCCUUUGGUUCGGAAUAACUUGGGGAAACUCAAGCUAAUACCGGAUAAGCCCUUCUGGGGAAAGGUUUACUGCCGAAGGAUCGGCCCGCGUCUGAUUAGCUAGUUGGUGCGGUAAUGGCUCACCAAGGCGAAGAUCAGUAGCUGGUCUGAGAGGAUGAUCAGCCACACUGGGACUGAGACACGGCCCAAACUCCUGCUGGAGGCGGCAGUGGGGAAUAUUGGACAAUGGGGGCGACCCUGAUCCAGCCAUGCCGCGUGAGUGAUGAAGGCCUUAGGGUUGUAAAGCUCUUUUACCCGGGACGAUAAUGACUGUACCGGGAGAAUAAGCCCCGGCUAACUUCGUGCCAGCCGCCGCAGUAA
rnacentral:rRNA from 1 species